rnacentral:rRNA from 1 species
AUUGAACGCUGGCGGCAGGCCUAACACAUGCAAGUCGAACGAGUGGCGGACGGGUGAGUAAUGUCUGGGAAACUGCCUGAGGGAGGGGGAUAACUCCUGGAAACGGUAGCUAUAACGGCUUACCGUCGGAUGUGCCCAGAUGGGAUUAGCUAGUAGGUGGGGUAAGUGCUCAACUAGGCGACGAUCCCUAGCUGGUCUGAGAGGAUGACCAGCCACACUGGAACUGAGACACGGUCCAGACUCCUACGGGAGGCAGCAGUGGGGAAUAUUGCACAAUGGGCGCAAGCCUGAUGCAGCCAUGCCGCGUGUAUGAAGAAGGCCUUCGGGUUGUAAAGUACUUUCAGCGGGGAGGCGUUACCCGCAGAAGAAGCACCGGCUAACUCCGUGCCAGCAGCCGCGGUAAUAC